UACGGAGGGAGCUAGCGUUAUUCGGAAUUACUGGGCGUAAAGCGCACGUAGGCGGCUUUGUAAGUUAGAGGUGAAAGCCCGGGGCUCAACCCCGGAAUUGCCUUUAAGACUGCAUCGCUUGAAUCCAGGAGAGGUGAGUGGAAUUCCGAGUGUAGAGGUGAAAUUCGUAGAUAUUCGGAAGAACACCAGUGGCGAAGGCGGCUCACUGGACUGGUAUUGACGCUGAGGUGCGAAAGCGUGGGGAGCAAACAGG
rnacentral:rRNA from 1 species